UAUGUGCAGUUCUAUGUUAUUUUAUCAUAUGUAUAGGUUCAUGUAACCACCAUCGAAAUCAAGAUAUAGAACUAUUCUAUCAUUACAAAUAUCUCCCUCAGGCUGUCCUUUAUAGUCAAAUCUAUCCUCCUUCCCCACUAUUCCCGAUCCUGGUAAUCACUAAUUUGUCCUCCACUCUGCAAUUUUGAUGGUGGCUACAUG